rnacentral:rRNA from 1 species
ACUCCUACGGGAGGCAGCAGUGGGAAUCUUGGACAAUGGGCGCAAGCCUGAUCCAGCCAUGCCGCGUGAGUGAUGAAGGCCUUAGGGUCGUAAAGCUCUUUCGCCAGGGAAGAUAAUGACGGUACCUGGUAAAGAAACCCGGCUAACUCGUGCCAGCAGCCGCGGGUAAUACGGAGGGGUUAGCGUUGUUCGGAAUUACUGGGCGUAAAGCGCGCGUAGCGGACUAUUAAGUCAGGGGUGAAAUCCCGGGGCUCAACCCCGGAACUGCCCUUGAUACUGGGUAGUUUUGAGUUCGAGAGAGGUGAGUGGAAUUCCGAGUGUAGAGGUGAAAUUCGUAGAUAUUCGGAGGAACACCAGUGGCGAAGGCGGCUCACUGGCUCGAUACUGACGCUGAGGUGCGAAAGUGUGGGGAGCAAACAGGAUUAGAUACCAUGGUAGGCUCUGC